rnacentral:misc_RNA from 1 species
AAUUAUUUGCUUUAGUCCUUUCUGCAAGAAAAUUGUAGGCAUGGGUUAUGCUAGGAAAGAAAAGGAAACAGAUCAACGGAAUUACAUGUACACACAAUCUUACAUAUUUAUAUGUUCAUGAAAUCAGAGAUAAAACAAUUUGACCUCAACUUAAUAAGAAAAUAAAUUGAACAAUUUUGAACUCAACUAAAUAAAACUAAUUUAACAUAUAAAUGGCAGUUAAUAGAGCAAAUGAGUAGUGCUGCUGUAUCCACAGCUGCAAUGAGAUCAAGAACCAUGGAAAAUCCAUUCAGUCUUUCUUUUUCCACAUAAAUCCAAAUAAAUGUGCACUUUAUUGUUUCCAGAAACCAAAUUAGAACCGACUCAUUUUUGUUCUUUUCAUGUACAACACCUUUCACAAAUGUGGAAUUUAGGCUGUGAUUCUAUAAGCAUCCCAGAAUUUUGGCAAGAUUUCAUUGAUUAUGAUUUUUUUUUUUUUUUUUGAGCAGGUGUAGGAUAAUUAUGAUUGUUUAUGAGAAUUAUGUCUGCGUUACUUAAAAGACAUUUUAUUUGCCGCAG